rfam:Omnitrophica WOR_2 bacterium RIFCSPHIGHO2_02_FTLL_52_10 rifcsphigho2_02_scaffold_80496, whole genome shotgun sequence.
GCGCCCGUAGCUCAGAUGGAUAGAGCGCGGCUCUCCUAAGGCCGGCGUGGGAGGUUCGAAUCCUCCCGGGCGCA